rnacentral:lncRNA from 1 species
CUGGCGAGACAAAGAACACUUCAUCUGAAAGAGUGCCUUCCCCCUGCUUUAAACCAUCGUGGGAAGCAGGUGGAUGGGUGAUGAGUUUCAUCAGCUGGUGGUGAAG